rnacentral:misc_RNA from 1 species
CCACAAGACCAUUAGGUGCACGGUAAUGUGUUAUUCAUUUAUAACUUUUGGCCGCUCUUAACGAUAAAUGCCCAUUUAUUAAUUAUUGUUAUGUGGUAUCCAUUGUGAAAUUGAUCGAGGAGUGAUUCGAGCAACAAGAAGGGAAAAUACUUGGUUUAAGUUAAUUUUCAUAUCCAUUCCUGUCACUAACCCAUGUGCAUAUGUGUUCUAUUUAUUGACAAAAAAAGAAAGGCAUCUGAGUGAAAACAAGGGAGAGCUGAGUAUCCUAGCAUAUGGUCCUAGUUGAGAUCCAUAAAUAAGUUGGGCGUAUCUAGGGGCUGGUCCUUUGUGAUCCUACAUCGGACGUGGAGUGUGCGUGUGUGGGUUAUGUAGGAACAAGGACUAUGUUAAAAUUAACAUGGUUUUAACAGUGGUCCAUUUAUGUCACUAACUCGUGUGUGCUUGUAUUCUAUCUAUUGACAAAAAAAAAAAAGGUUAAUUCUCAGAUUUUUCUCUUUUCCCUCAAUUUGUUUACCAAUGUAUCUUGUUGCUCAGGUUGAGGGCCUGUUUUGUAGUGAGGAAA